rnacentral:lncRNA from 1 species
AGAGGAUGUACUAGGGACUCUAGCAGAUGCUGUGCUGGGCCUGGUGCCUCGUGGGUGCCAUUACAAUAGCGUACAGUAGAUAUUUGCAUCAGACACUGCUACCGGUGAGCGGGUGUUCAUGCUUCCCUGCCCCCCUCCUGGUAACUCCUCUGUUUUGCUCAGGGCAGCAAUGUACCCAGCUGGAAUAUUCACCUUGUCACAUGCUCAAGCUGCAGCGGUGUGUCCUGACCCAGAACUGACACCUACAGGGUGGGGCUUUGAGGUGAGUUAUUAUUUAUCUUUGUUUUUUUAAAAACAGAGUCAACUGGCACAUGCAUUUUGUCCUUUACCCUUUACUCUUCCCUCUUCCUGUCUUCCUAGAAGGCAGAUGUACAGACAGAGUAUCCAGUGGCCUGGAGGGUGAAUCUCCAUUUGUUAAGGAUGGUGGAGUAGAAAGAGCCAAGGAACUUGGUUCCUUAAGCAGCAACACCAGCCCAAUGAGGAAAAAACAAAGCCCUUACUUGCUUCAACCACUGUUUGUCUGGUUCCUAUUAGGGGAAGCCAAAUGCAAACUUGACCGUCUAUUCUAUAACCUCCUGAUUGUCCUCAAUGAAGCGAAUGGGCUCAGAUAGUUUAAGCAACUCGACCAAGACCACUUAGACCCUGGAGACUGGUUAUUCAAAGUCUGUGGUCCAUGGAUCCACAGCAUGAGCCUCACUUGCGAGCUUGGGCCUCACCAGAGACCUACCAAAUUAGCACCGCAUCUAACGUGAUUUCCAGCUGCUUCACGUGUGCAGUGAAGUUGGAGAAGUGUCGGUCUGGAUAAUGAGCAGAGCUAAGAUUUGAUCCAUGUCUAUUUGACUUCAAAAUGCACACCCUUCUUCUGAAAUAGGAGAGAACAAGAUGAUAUAUUAUUGCACAGAUGUGAGUCAGCUUUUCAUUGCUAUAACAAAUAUCUGUGGUGACUAACUUAUAAAGAGAAAAGGCUUAUUUUGGCUCACAGUUUUGCAGAUUCCAGUCCCUGGUUGUUUGGGCCUGUGACAUUGCUUUUGGGCCUCUGACAAGGCCGCACAUCAUGGCAGAAGGUGUGUCGUGGAACAAAGCCAUUCACCUCGUGGAGGGGAAGUGAAAGAGAGGGAGGUGAGGGGAUGGGAUCCAAGUAUCCACCUCAAUAACUUUCCCCCAAUGACCAGAAAACCUUCCUCUAGGCCUCCCCUUUUAAAGGUACUGCUACCUCUCAAUAGAACCCACUUGGGGACACAUGGGCCUUAGGGAGCGCUCCAAGUGCUAACUGUAGCAGAUGCCUUCUGAGACAGAGAAAGGAAGCUGCGGAGUCUGUGGCACAGGGCCUGAAUUUUCUCAGAAUAAAGAGUGCUAGAAUGCUCACUCACUGAGAGCAACUGCACACCUGCUGUGUGCAUCAGGUACUAGAAGUAAAAAACUGUCUCUGUCUUCAAGGAUUCAAAGGUAGUGGGGAUACUGUGACAAUGACCAAUAUUUAUGAUAUUGCCCUGAAGGCUAUAGCAGAGUCUUGAGAAUCAUGGAACGGCACUUGCCCCUCCCCUCCCCCACCUCUGAAAUUCCUUGCAUUAAAUGGAACUGUAUCGCAUAUAUGGCCCAAGCUCAAGGGUUCGUGAUUGUCGGGUGGUCACAGGCUGGGCUAGAGUCAGAUGAAAUGACACUGGGCUACUUAAUUUUCACUUUGCUUUGUAGGAAGCAGACUCUACUCCAUACAAGUGAUCUUUUCAACCUGGAGCAGAAAGCGGUGGUUUAUGGAGAAGCCGGAAGGGGUGGGAUAAGGGGAAUUGGACACGGUCUGCAGAAAUGCCAAGUGACACCUGGGAGGAAGAAUAGUUUCUAAAGACUUGUUUGUUUUCUUUGCCCAAAGAAACAUGGUUUAAGAGGCCAACCUCAGUAUUUGUCGCAAUUCACAGAGUUUGGGCUCCCUAAGUGCCUGUAUUUAAUCAAUAUUUUAUGAGUUUGAAUCAUCUCCAAUGAACUUGUACGUUUCCUAAAUGAUGAGACAUUCCUGGACAAUGCUUUCAUCAAUAAAUUAUCAUGAUGGCG